rnacentral:rRNA from 1 species
GUCCACGCCCUAAACGAUGUCGACUGGUUGUUGGGGUUUGACACUCUCAGUAACGAAGCUAACGCGUGAAGUCGACCGCCUGGGGAGUACGGCCGCAAGGUUAAAACUCAAAGGAAUUGACGGGGACCCGCACAAGCGGUGGAUUAUGUGGAUUAAUUCGAUGCAACGCGAAAACCUUACCUACCCUUGACAUGUCCCGAAGCCCGGUGAGAGCCGGGGGUGCCCGAAAGGGAACGGGAACACAGGUGCUGCAUGGCUGUCGU